rnacentral:lncRNA from 1 species
AAUGCAGUUAAUUAUAUAGACAUUUUUAAAGAUCAAAUUGAUGCAGGUGUCUGGCCAGGUGUAUUGGAUUUUCACCCCAGUAGUAAGAAGAUGUGCUAUUUCUGUGGCUGACAUACUAAACCUCUACGCCCUUUUGAAAUGAAUGUAUAAAAUAAACCUAAACCCAAACUUGGGUUGAUGACCUUCUGCGGGAGCAGUUUUCUUCAAGUGUGAUAUGAGAGUCUGCAGGUUGAACAAGUAUUAAUAUUGAAAGGAAAUAUAGCAGGAAUUCUGAUAAUCACCCUUUGUAUUCAAGAAUGCCAUUGCGUCAAGCAACAAGCAAGCUAAGUCAUAGAAAUUCAAAAUACCAGGAAGACACUGUUGCCAGAGACGUAUAUUCCAAAGGAUUUUUCAUCUGACAAGACCCCAGCUGAAGGCAUUUUUGAUAGGCAUCAGCAGCAGCAACAGACUAAGUGAUAAAAAUUCAAACACCAAGAAGCCACUGUCUCCAGAAAUGUAUAUUCCAAGGGAUUUCUCUCAUCUGACUAGACCCCAGCAAGAGGCAUUCUGAUAGGCAUCAUUAGGAGCUUAUCCUGUUCCAGGAAAAAGACGCUAAUAUGCUAAAGAAGACGCCCUUCCAAAGCCUGAGAGACUGUAUAAAAAUGGACCCCUUAGAACUGACCCUCGGAGACCCAUGGGGACUUUGGUGUGAUAGAGGCCAAGUCCUAAGUCUCCCCGACACUGAUUGCCUGGCUCAGAGUCGAAUCGUUUGUGGCUUUUUUUUUUUUUCCAAGUAUAUACUUUGACAAUUUAGUCUAUUUCUUUAACUAUUAAAUCAGAGCAUUCAUUUAUAACAUGUAUUACUUUUUAAUUUCAAAUUUACAUAUUUUUCUCAUUAAUUUAUAAAGUAUCUGUGACUUUUACAGGUUUAGGAACAGCAGUGUUUGGAAAGUAGCCCAGAGACCACUUUGCACUAUCAAAAAAGUACAUGAUUUUUGUGAGUCAUGAGAUUAUCACAUUGAUAAAGCUCAAGUACUGGAAUAGAGUACCGGAGAAAAGCACGGUAGAACUGAGAGGCACAGGCAAAUUUGUUCUAAUAACUUGCUGUUCUGAGUUUCUGGGUACAGAAACAUUUAGAGGAGAAUACUGCAAGGCAAAGAGAGCAUGUAGUGUUAGCCGUCAACACACCUCUGUGAAAGAGCCUCUUUCCAAAAAGAGGCAGUAAAGGCUGUGUCUCAUUACAGCAACAGUAGGAAAAAAUGCAAUCUUGAAAGGUAAAGCUACAAGUAGAUAUAAUGGCAACAGGCACCAAACAGACUUGAGAAGCAUAUCUAAUGGAAAAGUGCACUCAUUAGACAGAGGCAAAGUUACUUCCACACAACAGUUAUUUCUCCACAUUCUACGCGUCUUUAGUGUGCAAAUUUAAUGACUCUUCAAAAUGCAAAAUGAGUAAUGCAAAUACAAGGAAAUAAAGCAUCAUUUUUGCAAGACCAUGGAUGAAACAUUCAGCAACAAAUGCCUUUGCAGGAAUGCUGCAGUCCUAUGAACAAAGGAAACAUCUGAGAGGAAGAAGAGUGUGAAUUCAUAGGGAUGCUACUGACUCUAAUACCUGCAGCUGUGCCUCUUUUGUUAUAGAGGUGAAGGUGUAAUGAGAUACAGUGGGUGUCAGAUGGUACAGGAAAGUUCGUGCAGGAGCCUUUUAAUGCGACAUAUAAUUAAACAUGGGAACAAAUGUGAGACAGCACAUCUGAAGACAUAAUAGCUCAUUUCACGAUUAGAUGCAAGACUCACUAUGUGAAGCCUAUGUCUUUCUUUAUUCAAUGAAUCAACCUAAUUGCUGAUUAAUUAAUUAUGAUCUUUUAAGUGAGUGUACUGCUGCUCUUUGGUGCAUAAAACCAAAACAAAAACAAACAAACAAACCCCAAAAAAAGCUCCCCAGAAAAAAGCUGGGAAAGAAAACACAGCCAUAGAGAAGUCUGCAGAAAAAUGUUUGCAAAAAACAUGUGAGUCAAGGAGCUGAAUCCUGUCUGUGUGCACUCUGCCUCUCUGGCACACGUUGGUGAGCCUCAGAGAGAGAAUUGUAAACCAAGUGGAGACCAUCAGGGAAGCUGAGAUUCCAAAGAUACUGCAUCAUUCCUGUACCCCGCAGUGUUUCUUUGUUUGGGUGGUUUGUUUUGAGGCUGGUUGAUUCAUGGGCCAUACUGAGCCUUGCAUCUUGACCACAGCUGAGAUUGCUUUCUAUCAGUGCGACCCAGAGGUUUUCGUAGACAAGACACUGGCCACUCUAUUUUGAAAAUACUUCCAGAGCAAAUGCAUUUAAAUUAGAGGAAAUACAGAAAAUUUGGCUCUAAACAGAAAAUUUUAAUCAUAUUCUGAAAAACUGGGCUUUUGAUGGAAACAAGAUCCCAGUGAAGUUACUACUGUUAUAGGUAAAAAUGAUCCAGCCAAAUGAAUAAUUAAUAAAAAUAAAUUUUUAUUCAGUGAUCAAGAUUUGGUUCAAGACAGCCACAAUCAAAAGGACAGUGCCGAGCCCGGGAUCGGCACUGGGUGAGACACAGGUCCGACUGCUACAGCAUAGGGUCUCCUAUGUUUCACACAGACUGCCCUGUCCUGGUGGUUCUUAUACAGUCUGUUCUGCCUGAGGCAGAGUUUUCGGGAACAAGCUUUUCUUCCUUUCAGUCCUACAUAUUAAUGGAGUUUCUUUUCUCCAAACAAAACCAUGUCCCCAUAUGUCCAUGAUUGAGUUACUGGAACUUGGCAUUGAGAAGUAUCUUUCUGAGGGCUCCAGCUAUCUCAAUCUAGAUCACCUUGGGGAAUGACCCAUCUCCUGCCCAGCUACUUUCAUUUGUUUGCAAAUGAGGUCCUUCUCUCUCUUGAGUGGUUUUGACAUCCCCGACUCUGGCUGGCAUGCUUAAAACAUUAUAAGAAUAUUUCUCGCCAACAUAUAAAUAUUUUAUAUAUAUACAUAUUUUAUAUAUAUUUCUUUUUAUAAGCAUGAAUUAUCCAAAACACACCUAACACUACCAUGAACCCAAAACUAACAGUGUGGGGUUUUCAAACUACAUAGCUCCACUUUGUACUAACUCCCUGUCCCAAAAUGACAAUGUCUCUUGAGAAAGAGUGAUCAAGUAGGAUCUGGAGGAUUUUUAUUUUAAUAUGAGAAAAGGAAAGUAAAAGAUUUCUGGUGAGGAUGUUUUCUUUCAUGAUUUUCUGCUGGGGGAUGGGGUGAGAUGACAGGCCAACAUAAUCCUGCUUAAUUCCUGGGAAUUCUUUCCUGAUUAGUCACACUCCAAUCCAGGGAAGGGCCUCCUGCUUUUCCAUUUGUGAAACAAAGGGAGAUCAUGACUGUUACCUGAAAAGUGAUAGCAGUGAAUAUCCUGUGGAAAGGCACAUACAUUCCUUCUCUUUAUCUUCUAAUUCAUGGAUGAAAUAUGCCUGUAAGGAUCAGUGUGAACUGAAGUAAAAAGAGCUAAGUAUAGCUGACAACUACUGAUACAUAAGUAAUAUAUGAGUAUUAAAGCAGUUUGUCAUACAGUUCAAGGAUUAAAAAGAAUUUCAAAAUUAUACAUGACAAAAUUUCACACUUACAUUCACAAAAUUAAACCAAUCUAACAUUUUCAGCUAGUACCAAGUCCUGUACCAUCAUAGCCAAUGGGAGAUUUAUCAAUCCCAUCAUUGUCAUCUGUCUGGGACUGUAAAGUGAGGACAAACCUGUAGCAACUGUCUUUAUCAGAAGUUUCUCUAAAUAUGUUGUAAUUCCUAGGUGCAGAAUUUGGAAACUGACACAUGCCUAAAUGUUUAGGCUAAGUAAACAUUUACCUUGAAGUUUUGAGAGACAACACAUGGAAUGAGAUUAAUUUCGAAGCAUGUCAGUGUAAAUAGAAAAAGAAGAAAAUGGUUCUUGCUCAGAAACUGGAAAUGUACAGUAUUCCUAACCACUUCAUGAUCCAUUUUGAUGGAAGUAACUGGUCAGAUAUUCAAGUCUUCACAAGUUUUUGGGAAAAUUAUGUCAGAGACUGAAGACACAGUAAGGUAACAUUCGUACAAAAUUGUUUUGAAAAUGCUGACUAAAAUAUCUUUCCCUGAAUAUGAGAAAUUAAAUGCUAUGAGGAGGUUAUUCUUUUAAAGCUUAUUAAACUUACUGGCUGAUUGUA